CAGCUGCCAAUGAGAAGCCAGUCCUGGCCAAUACUUUGAUUUUAACCCAGUGAGACGUUAAGAAGAGAACCAAGCCAUACCAUUCCAGACAUCUGACCUAGAGAAACAGUGAGGCUUGUGUAAAACUGCUACAUGUGUGAUAAUUGGUUACACAUCAACACAAAAGUAACACAGUCAGUACAGAAAGGAUCAGAGUAAUAGCUACUAAAGAAGAGCAGGGUGGGGAAGAGUAUGCCAACACUUUCAGCGAUUUAGAGGUGUUUGGAAUGGACAAGGGAGCUUCCCUGGUGGCUUAGUCUGUAAAGAGUUCGCCUGCAGUGCAGGAGACUGGGGUUCCAUCUCUGGGUCUGGAAGAUCCCCUGGAGAAGGAAAUGGAAUGUGUGAGGAGAAGAGAGAAGAGACUGAAAGACGAGAUGAGGUGAGUCUGAUCGUGAAGAGCAUUGUAAGCCAGGAGACUAUUUUCCAAGAGCAAAGGGAAGCAGUGAACUGUUUAACAGAGCUUGCUGUUUAACUGUUUAACAGAGCUCCAUAAACAUGGAGCAUGAGGAACACGGCACAGCCUGGGACCAGGCAUUCAGGAUCCCCGGCUUCGUCAGUCAGGGAAGCCGGCGAGCAGGAAGAGUGGCUUGAGGGUGCCGAGCCCCAGACGCUGACCAACAUCUGCUUGCUUGUUCUUUCUCAUCUCAGUUACUCACAGCACCAGCUACGUGUAGGGCACCACUCCAGGGGGCAGGGACACCCACUGCUCCGAGCUCCCAGACCUCAGCAGGGCCUUUGUUAUUGCUCUUGUUUUUCCAGAAGUCAUGUGGAGUAAGAUAAAUAUAGUUUAUGGAUUCCCACAACUAGUUCUGCCACUUAUUAAGCCCACAAGCCAGGGCAAGUCACUUAACCUUUCUGAGUUUCCCUUUUCUGAUUUGUAAAUAACUAUUAUAGCUACUUCAGCAGGCUAUUGCAGGAAUCAAAGACAAAGUAGAUAAAAACUUUAAACCUCAUGAAAGCCCUGUUCAGAUGAUCCACUUUCCUCUCUUUGUCUGUCUACCAUCCAUGUGCUCUCGUUCUCAUAUUCUUUUUUUUUUUCUCUCUCUUUCCUUUCAUUGUUUUCUUUAUUAAAUUAGUUCAACAAAUAUUUCUUGGGAGCCUGUGCUAUUCAUUCAUCUAAAUGUCUGUCCAUGUCUGCUUCACACACACACAUUCGCAUCAUGGAGCUUACUCUAUGAACACUUAAGGAUACAGAACAAAGCUCCUAAUGUAUUUUUAAGUGGAAAAUAAAAGUGAUUACAAAAUAUGUUCGAUUGACAAGCAGGUGUUUUGGUGAAUAUGUGUGUGCUGCGUGAAAGGGAGCAAGAGAGAAAAAGUACAAAUAUAUUCAUAGAGCCAAACAUUAGAAAAUACACCUCAAAACGUUAGUAGAAUACCUCUAGAUGCUUUCAUUUGGCUUUGUUUUCCCAUUUCCCCGUAUUUCUCAAAUUUUCUGCAAGAAAUACAUUUUAUAAAUAGUAUAGCAGCCCAACAUGUUUUAAGAAAAAUACAAGAUGUCAAAUGCUAGGAAUAAGUUAUACAUAGGAUGUUAUGGGAAUGGAUGUUUCUGAAUUAAAUGUUGACUGGGUAGAAUCUCUAUGCUUAGCUUUGAAGGAUAAAAAGCUCUUUAGGAAAGACCUUAGUGAAUGGCAUUCGGGAGAAGGACCCGAGGUGUGCACACACUGGAGUGGUCAGCUCUUGUCACCUGAAGUGCAUCCUGAGUCACACUAGGAGAUGGGAAUUAGAAGCCAUGCUAUGAAUCUUAGCUUUUAUCCUCUAAGUACAGAGGCAUUUAAGCAGAGGAUUCAUAUAGUCAGACCUUCAUUUCUAUAGAUUACAGUGGGUGGCAGUGUGGAAUGCAUAGUAUAAAGAGGUUAGAAGCAGACAGGAAGCAUGGAAAUUUGUCAGGACGCUAGCGUCCAAGUAAAAGACAAUGAAGGUCUGGACCAGAACAAUGUAGUGAGAAUGGAGAGAAAUAUUUUAGGGAUAGUUGAGAAUUGUUUAAGGCUUAUUUCCCAUUCUGCCUGUGUUAUACUAUAUUGUUAAAUUAGCAACACUAUAACUUAUUUAAGAAAGUGUACUUAGGUGCCUAUAUAAUAUGCCUGCAUAAUUUUCCAACUGGAAGAAAAGUAUCAAAGGGCAUGGGAAGGCUAAGACCCAAAGACCUUGGACGAUUUCAUAAUUUGGCUUGGGUCUCACUUCUGCAAGCCCAAAGGAGACAGUCAGAGUUAGAAAAUGCUUCCCUCCUGCUGGAAACUAAGCUGUGGGGAGACUGGAAACAGCAGAGGGCCUGAAAGAGUCUGGAGGAGUUCCCACCAACGAACGCGGCAGACAAGACCAGAUGAGCAACUGUGGUGUCAUGGGCAGUCAGAGAGCAGGCUGUGCAGUGAUGUGACUUGGAAAGAGACAGGAGGGUUUUGUGUGUGUGUGUGUGUGUGAGAGAGAGAGAGAGAGAUGUUUGGCUUUUUCUGAGUCAUGUUUAGUUUUUAUAACAGCAGACUUUCCAACUGGCAUAAAGACAGUCAGGAGUUAAGAGAGAAAGCAAAGCACCUAAGUAUGUCAUGCCAGCAGGGUGCCAGCACGAGUUUGCUAGCGGUUAGGAGCAGCCUGGCUGUCCGUGCUAAGGAGGGACAUGAGCACAGGGAGGAAUAAAUUCCUGAGCUCUUCUUUGGCUCAUGUUUUUACUUUGUUGACUUAAAAAAUAAUCACAACCUAAAAAACUGAGAGUUAUGUUUUAUUUGGUAGGAAUUUUUAGGACUUCAAGGCCAACAGACAGCAUCUCAAGUAAUCCCGAGAGAAUUGCUCCGAGGAACGGCAGGUGGGAAGUAAGGGGUCAGGUUAUAUAAAAGAAGUGAAGUGAAGUGGUGUCUGACUCUUUGUGCCCCCAUGGACUGUAGCCUAACAGGAUUCUCCAUCCAUGCGAUUUUCCAGGCAAGAGUACUGGAGUGGGUUGCCAUUUCCUCCUCCAGGGUAUCUUCCUGACCCAGGGAUCGAACCCAAGUCUCCCGCAUUGUAGGCAAACGCUUUACCGUCUGAGCCAGAAGUUAGUAACAAAGGACUGGUAGCCUGAACAUCAAGAGACUGUUGUGAAUUAAAGAAACCUAGAUAUCUCAAGUUAAGGAGUUUAGCACUUUUUUAUGUGUGAGAAGAUGCAGGAGUCUGCUCCCUGAAAUCAUUGCUUUCAUCAUCUCAGCUGGGAAUAUCUAGCCAGGAGACCUGAAUCCACUUGCAAUAAGGAAGAUAAAGUUAAAAAAAAAAACAAAACAGAAAACGUGCUGUAGCAAGUUACAGCAUAAUUUGAAGAAGCUUAUCAACCUUAUCAAGUCAAAGCUAUGGUUUUUCCAGUAGUCAUGUACAGAUGUCAGAACUGGACCAUAAAGAAGGCUGAGUGCUAAAGAAGGCUGAUGCUUUUGAACUGUGUUGUUAGAAAAGACUCUUGAGAGUCCCUUGGACAGCAAGGAGAUCAAACCAGUGCAUCCUUAAGGAAAUCAACCCUGAAUAUUCAUUGGAAGGACUGAUGCUGAAGCUGAAGUUCCAGCACUUUGGCCACCUCAUGCGAAGAGCUGACUCAUUGGAAAAGACCCUGAUGCUGGGAAAGAUUGAGGGCAGGGGAGAAGAGGGUGACAGAGGAUGAGAUGGUUGGAUGGGACCAUCGACUCAAUGGAUAUGAGUUUGAGGAAACUCUAGGAGAUAGUGAAGGACAGGGAAGCCUGGCGUGCAGGAAUCCAUGGGGUCACCAAGAAUUGGACAUGACUGAGCAACUGAACAACAAAAAAAAUCAAAGGAACCCCACAUUGGGAGAACUUCUGGUUGCACACAACUCUGAGCCUCUCCUGAUAAAUAGCCCAGCAGGUGUCUCACCGCUUUGAGUUACGUGUGGUUUGCCCAUCUGCGCAGCGUGAGUGACCCAGACAGCAGAAGGACGGGCCUUGUUUCUCAGUGUACGGUCUUGGCAAUUUCUUGGCCCUUGUCCAAGUCACCAGACACACUCUCCAUCAUUACCAUUAACAGCAACGUGUUACAAUGCAGCCAUUACCACUCAUCUACGCCAGCGCCUGAGUUGAUGAGUUGAGAGGAGAGGAGGACAGAAAGGGGAAAUCUAAAGGCAAGGUGCGGUGGGGGCGGGAGACAGCUUCUCCUUUUCUGCCCUUUCUCCAAAAACUUCCCUAGUUUUAUUUCCCAUUUGCUCAGCCGUGUGUUCUCACACUCUCCUUUACCUUGAGAGCUGACUGUUGGACGCGCACAAGAGAAGAACAUGAAGGCCUCCAGAUAAAGUAGACACGGAAUCAACACAGGGUUCCAGUCACUCGUUUUCUUUGACGGGGCUUUACCAGGCUGGAUGGAAGAAGAAAAGACAGCCAGGAAAGCGGGAGUUAUAAAUCAGCUCUGUGCUCUUCCGAGGAUUUAUAUUCAACUGAAGACGUGUCCAAUGCAGGACCUUAUGGCUUUCUGUUUUCUUUUUGCUUACAUGGAGAAAUAACAGUUAAUAUAGUCAACUAUCCCAAGGCAGAAGAGUAUUAUUAAAAAAAGAAUACUUUGCAAUAUUAUUGAUUUCUCAAGUAACUGUGAGAUAUUUUAAGAUUUUGAUUUAAUAAAAUAUAGUAUGAUUUCUUUUAUGGGAUUUUUAUGUUUUCCCAAUCUUUAUCACCCUUGUGUGUUUCUUAGUUGAAAAUGAGAGUGUCUACUAAGUAUCAGCUGAACAAAUCCUGAUCUAAGUUACAAAAACCUUUAUGGCCACAUUGUCAUUUUCCUCCACUUACCUCUUUCUGUAAGUAGAUUUGUGGGGCAGGGGUCGUCCCUGGAGAAAGAGAACCAGGCAUGGCUUUCUUGACAUAAGGGAAGCUGUUUUGGGCCCAAGCCCUUGGUGGUCUCAGCCUGGCCAUAAUGCUUGGUCUUGAACAGGUCUCAGUGAUAAACGGUCUUAAGGGAACAAAAGAAUGCAUAAACAACGGACUGUUAACGGGCAA
ensembl:lncRNA